AUUGAACGCUGGCGGCAGGCCUAACACAUGCAAGUCGAGCGGAUGAAGGGAGCUUGCUCCUGGAUUCAGCGGCGGACGGGUGAGUAAUGCCUAGGAAUCUGCCUGGUAGUGGGGGAUAACGUCCGGAAACGGGCGCUAAUACCGCAUACGUCCUGAGGGAGAAAGUGGGGGAUCUUCGGACCUCACGCUAUCAGAUGAGCCUAGGUCGGAUUAGCUAGUUGGUGGGGUAAAGGCCUACCAAGGCAACGAUCCGUAACUGGUCUGAGGGGAUGAUCAGUCACACUGGAACUGAGACACGGUCCAGACUCCUACGGGAGGCAGCAGUGGGGAAUAUUGGACAAUGGGCGAAAGCCUGAUCCAGCCAUGCCGCGUGUGUGAAGAAGGUCUUCGGAUUGUAAAGCACUUUAAGUUGGGAGGAAGGGCAGUAAGUUAAUACCUUGCUGUUUUGACGUUACCAACAGAAUAAGCACCGGCUAACUUCGUG
rnacentral:rRNA from 1 species